AAUCAUGGCUCAGGAUGAACGCUGGCGGCGUGCCUAACACAUGCAAGUCGAACGGAGUUUACAUGAAACCUAGUGAUUGUAAACUUAGUGGCGGACGGGUGAGUAACGCGUGGGUAACCUGCCCUGUACUGGGGGAUAACACUUAGAAAUAGGUGCUAAUACCGCAUAAGCGCACAGUGCCGCAUGGCACAGUGUGAAAAACUCCGGUGGUACAGGAUGGACCCGCGUCUGAUUAGAUAGUUGGUG
rnacentral:rRNA from 1 species